rnacentral:rRNA from 1 species
CUACGGGGGGCUCCAGUGGGGAAUAUUGCACAAUGGGCGCAAGCCUGAUGCAGCAACGCCGCGUGAGUGAAGAAGGCCUUCGGGUCGUAAAGCUCUGUCCUCUGGGACGAAUAAAUGACGGUACCAGAGGAGGAAGCCCCGGCUAACUACGUGCCAGCAGCCGCGGUAAUACGUAGGGGGCAAGCGUUAUCCGGAAUCACUGGGCGUAAAGGGUGCGUAGGUGGUCUAUCAAGUCAGAAGUGAAAGGCAGUGACUCAACCAUUGUAAGCUUUUGAAACUGAUGGACUUGAGUGUAGGAGAGGUAAGUGGAAUUCCUAGUGUAGCGGUGAAAUGCGUAGAUAUUAGGAGGAACACCAGUGGCGAAGGCGACUUACUGGACUAUUACUGACACUGAGGCACGAAAGCGUGGGGAGCGAACAGGAUUAGAUACCCUCGUAGUC